rnacentral:rRNA from 1 species
GGGGAAUAUUGGGCAAUGGGGGAAACCCUGACCCAGCAACGCCGCGUGAAGGAAGAAGGCUUUCGGGUUGUAAACUUCUUUUACCAGGGACGAAGAGAGUGACGGUACCUGGAGAAAAAGCCACGGCUAACUACGUGCCAGCAGCCGCGGUAAUACGUAGGUGGCAAGCGUUGUCCGGAUUUACUGGGUGUAAAGGGCGUGUAGGCGGAGAUUCAAGUCAGGAGUGAAAUCUAUGGGCUUAACCCAUAAACUGCUUUUGAAACUGAAUCCCUUGAGUAUCGGAGAGGCAGGCGGAAUUCCUAGUGUAGCGGUGAAAUGCGUAGAUAUUAGGAGGAACACCAGUGGCGAAGGCGGCCUGCUGGACGACAACUGACGCUGAGGCGCGAAAGCGUGGGGAGCAAAC